CUCAUGGUUUCACGGUAUUGCAAUGAGAACAAUUUAAAACCCUUAGCGAGAAUCAAGUGGAGGACAAGUCUGGUGCCAGCACCCGCGGUAAUUCCAGCUCCACUAGCGUAUAUUAAAGUUGUUGCAGUUAAAAAGCUCGUAGUUGAACCUCUGUCUGGGGCUAGUUUUGGCUUUGGUCAGGCUAGUUCUAGGCAUCCGCCUACAAGACUUAGAGGGCAUUCAGUUGUUCACUAGGAGGAGUAGGCAUUUUACUUUGAAAAAAUUAGAGUGUCUAAGGCAGGCAAUCGCCCGCAUAUAUUAGCAUGGAAUAAUAGAAUAGGACACUUUUCCAUUUCGUUGGUUAUUGGAAUCGUGUAAUGAUUAAUAGGGACAGCUGUGGGCAUUUGUAUUUAAUUGUCAGAGGUGAAAUUCUUGGAUUUAUUAAAGACAAACUAACGCGAAAGCAUUUGCCAAGGAUGUUUUCAUUAAUCAAGAACGAAAGUUAGGGGAUCAAAGACGAUCAGAUACCGUCCUAGUCUUAACUAUAAACUAUUCCGACUCAAUGUUUGACUGGCUUAUAUAACCAGUUGAGCGUUGUAUGAGAAAUCAAAGUCUUUAGGUUCUGGGGGGAGUAUGGUUGCAAAGCUGAAACUUAAAGGAAUUGACGGAAGAGCACAACCAGGAGUGGAUUCUGCGGCUUAAUUUGACUCAACACGGGGAAACUUACCAGGUUAAAACAAUAGUGGGAUUGACAGUUUGAGAGCGCUUUCUUGAUUGGUUGGGUGGUGGUGCAUGGCCGUUCUUAGUUGGUGGAGUGAUUUGUCUGCUUAAUUGCGUUAACGAACGAGACCUUAACCUGCUUACUAGACUGGCGAUCAUCAAUCGUUAGCUCUUCUUAGAGGGACUUUGGUUGUUUUAACUCCAAGGAAGUUUGAGGCAAUAACAGGUCUGUGAUGCCCUUAGAUAUCCUGGGCCGCACGCGUCAUACAAUGACUAGUUCAGAAAGUUUUCUCCUGACCCGAAAGGGGAUGGGUAAUCUUGAUAAUACUAGUCGUGUUAGGGAUCGAUCUUUGCAAUUAUAGAUCUUGAACGAGGAAUUCCUAGUAAGUGCGGUUCAUCAGACCGUACUGAUUACGUCCCUGCUCUUUGUACACACACCGCCCGUCGCUUCUACCGAGUGGGUGGUCCGGUGAGAUAAUUGAACUUCGCAGGUAACUGAGAGGAAAGAUUAUCAAACCUAUCCACCU
rnacentral:rRNA from 1 species